UUAUGUAUCCUUGCCCCUCCCCUUGGUUUUUUUGCAAAGCCCCGAGCGCUAGGCAUCUGCGCUCGCUCGCCCCCGCCCCCAUCGUUCCCGCAUUCUCGCCCCUCCUUCCCGCCUCCCCGCUCCUCCUUCCCACCUCCUCGCCGGCCAGUUCGCGCGCGCACACUAGUUUCUCCACCAAAUCGUCGCCAACGAGUCUGGUAGAUGCACCAAAUCGGUGCUCCUCGAUCCAGCGUCGGUGUCGCCGGACUCGCCAUGUCCCGGCCACCGCAUCCUCGAGCGGCGCCAGCCGCCGACUUCGGCCACGAUGCUGCGUGGUUAGAUCCGGGCCGGCUGGUCCCGCAAGGAUUUGAUGAUCUAGAGUCCAUUCAUAGUGACGGAACGGAGUUCGGCGACGUCCUGAGCAAUGGAUCGAUGGAGGGCGGCGGCAGUGGCGUCAAAUAUCAGCGGCGCGUGGAGGCGGAAGGAGAACAACCCGAUGCAAAUUGAUGACGUGGACCCAAUUUUGAAUAUAGCUACCACGUUUUAGCUAGUCUCUUGGACUAUCCCUAUAGAAUUAUGUAGUUUCCUACUUUUACAAAAGGGCACAAUCUCCAUAUUUAGAUAACAAAAUACAAGAGCUCUUGGAGAUGCUUAAACAUAGCCUAGGAUAUCAUUUAGAUCCCUUUAUUUUUAUAAAAUACAAAAAAUCUAGCUCUCUAAACUUAGCUUUGGGUUAUUGAAGGAGUUAGCCACUUUGAUAAUAUGGUUAACUCUGAUAUUCCAUUACCCUUUAUUCCAUUAUCAAAAUGGAUUCCUUGGAUCCAAUGAACAAAGUAAAAAGCAGUAAUAUAAGAAGAGGAAAUAGCAUAGUAUUUCCCGUUUCAUGAGGAUAGACAAAAGUGUUUUUAGCCUCAAAGGAGUGCUAAAGGAUCCUAGCUUAUUUAUUGUAUUACCAGGAAUUUGGAGUCUAUUUUUGGAAAAAAAAAACUCCACCCUUCAUUGUUGAUAAAACAAAAUCCCUAUUGACUCUUU